CUGGUUCGAAUCACGCUAACCACAUUUUUUUUUCUUCCUCAGGAUUAGGUCAAGGUCAUUUCUCUUAUUUCGCUGCUCUUUUCUCAAUGGCCCGGCCCGCUGUCGCCGCUCUCUCCAUCGCCCGCUGCUCUUCUCUCCCUCGCCAUCGCCGCUCGCUCUUCAUCUCCCGCCCGCUCUUCAUCUCCCGCCCGCUCUUCAUCUCCUGCUGGUCCUUCUCUCCAUCGCCGUUCUCCCUCUCUCCAUCGCCGUUCAUCUCCAUCGCUCCCUUUCUCUCCAUCUCUCCUUCUUUCACGUAAAACAAAAAAGAGCGUAGCAGCACUCCGUCAAGCCACACAUUACUCCGGUGAGCCUACAUUUUUCGGUGAACAUUUCAUCUCAAAAACUCACGGACUCUCCAAAAUCUUCCGUAGGAUCUUGUCUAAGUCCACAAGAGCAAUGGAUUACAUAGAGGCCGGGCAUAUCAUCAUCAACGACGGUGACUACCAAAGUCCAUUUUAUUAGGAAAUCGACUUCUACGUUGUUGACCUCUAUGAGCUUUCCGGCGGGCACCAGAGGGCGAAAUAUUUUAGUGAAGAAAGCUUAUAAAAUUUUUGUAGGUAAACAUGUUGAUAUUCAAGCGUGGUAUGUGUUGAGAACUUUAAUUCAAGUGUUGAUAUAUAUUUGAAUGAGUUCUGAACUUUAAUUCAAUUGUUGAUAUUUGAAUGCAACUUUAAUUUAAGUGUUAGAUAUUUGAAUGUGUUGAAAACUUUUAGUAUGUUAUAUUUGAAUGUAUGAAUGUAAUUAACAUCUUGUAAUG